UACGUAGGGUGCAAGCGUUAAUCGGAAUUACUGGGCGUAAAGCGUGCGCAGGCGGUUUUGUAAGCCUGUCGUGAAAGCCCCGGGCUCAACCUGGGAAUUGCGAUGGAGACUGCAAGGCUUGAAUCUGGCAGAGGGGGGUAGAAUUCCACGUGUAGCAGUGAAAUGCGUAGAGAUGUGGAGGAAUACCGAUGGCGAAGGCAGCCCCUGGCCAAUACUGACGCCUGCAUGCACGAAAGCGUGGGGAGCAAACAGG
rnacentral:rRNA from 1 species